rnacentral:rRNA from 1 species
AAUGAACGCUGGCGGCGUGCUUAACACAUGCAAGUCGAACGCUUCAGCAAUGAAGAGUGGCAGACGGGUGAGUAACGCGUGGGAACCUUCCCAGUGGUACGGAAUAGCCCAGGGAAACUUGGGGUAAUACCGUAUAAGCCCUUCGGGGGAAAGAUUUAUCGCCAUUGGAUGGGCCCGCGUCGGAUUAGCUUGUUGGUGAGGUAAAAGCUCACCAAGGCGACGAUCCGUAGCUGGUCUGAGAGGAUGAUCAGCCACACUGGGACUGAGACACGGCCCAGACUCCUACGGGAGGCAGCAGUGGGGAAUAUUGGACAAUGGGCGCAAGCCUGAUCCAGCCAUGCCGCGUGAGUGACGAAGGCCUUAGGGUUGUAAAGCUCUUUUGGCGGGGACGAUAAUGACGGUACCCGCAGAAUAAGCUCCGGCUAACUUCGUG